GAGACGUGGAGAAUAUUCGACGGAGUGGAAGUCGUGUUCAACCUUUGCAAGGACGCUGUUGGUUUAGUUCAACAGCGCGAUGUCUUCGCUAGGCGCCGCGAAAAGCCACGCCUGUUUGAAGUGACUUAAGUCGUGUUAAUCUAUAGUCAAGGCACCAAAACAAGAAUAAUCAAAAGUAAGGUCUAGAAAAUCGCUGCUCAUUGCUCUAUAUAAAUGCAAAUUUGUCGAUAAUUCGACUGGCGCAGCACCAAUGUAAGUACCGAAUCUGUUAAGCGCUAAGAGAGUUAAAAGCUUGGCUGCUGGCUGCGUGCGCGUGGAGCUCCGACUCUGCUGGCAUACGGUAAAAUUAAUCUUUGACCUUUUACGAUCCUCCAAGGCUGAAUCCGCCACGGGCGAUCGAGGCGACCGCGAGUUGGCACGAUGGCGCAGGUAAAACCACAACACAUAUGAGAUGCUGGACGUAAACAGAUAAACACUUUGAGAUGGUAGUGUUGGUGUGUUGGUGCGCACGUCACUCAGAGAACAUACGGAACGAUUAAUGGCUCCACUCGUGCUUUGGGGGGAGUAGGGGGAGGAAAAGAAGUGCGAGGGGCAAAGAAAAAAAAGAUGAAUGCUCAGCUUCCACACAAACAAUGACCAAUAAAAAGAAGAAAAUCAA